rnacentral:rRNA from 1 species
UACGGGGGGGGGGCAAGCGUUGUUCGGAAUUACUGGGCGUAAAGGCUCGUAGGUGGCCAACUAAGUCAGACGUGAAAUCCCCAGGCUCAACUUGGGAACUGCGUCUGAUACUGGAUGGCUUGAAUUCGGGAGAGGGAUGCAGAAUUCCAGGUGUAGCGGUGAAAUGCGUAGAUAUCUGGAGGAAUACCGGUGGCGAAGGCGGCAUCCUGGACCGAGAUUGACACUGAUGAGCGAAAGCUAGGGGAGCAAACGGG